GAUGAACGCUGGCGGCGUGCCUAAUACAUGCAAGUAGAACGCUGAAGGAGGAGCUUGCUCUUCUGGAUGAGUUGCGAACGGGUGAGUAACGCGUAGGUAACCUGCCUGGUAGCGGGGGAUAACUAUUGGAAACGAUAGCUAAUACCGCAUGACAACAGUUAUUGCAUGAUAACUGUUUAAAAGGGGCAACUGCUCCACUACCAGAUGGACCUGCGUUGUUUUAGCUAGUUGGUGAGGUAACGGCUCACCAAGGUGACGAUACAUAGCCGACCUGAGAGGGUGAUCGGCCACCCUGGGACUGAGACACGGCCCAGACUCCUACGGGAGGCAGCAGUAGGGAAUCUUCGGCAAUGGACGGAAGUCUGACCGAGCAACGCCGCGUGAGUGAAGAAGGUUUUCGGAUCGUAAAGCUCUGUUGUAAGAGAAGAACGAGUGUGAGAGUGGAAAGCUCACACUGUGACGGUAUCUUACCAGAAAGGGACGGCUAACUACGUG
rnacentral:rRNA from 1 species